rnacentral:rRNA from 1 species
CGCGGCCUAUCAGCUUGUUGGUGAGGUAAUGGCUCACCAAGGCAUCGACGGGUAGCUGGUCUGAGAGGACGAUCAGCCACACUGGGACUGAGACACGGCCCAGACUCCUACGGGAGGCAGCAGUGGGGAAUCUUGCGCAGUGGGCGAAAGCCUGACGCAGCGAUGCCGCGUGGGGGAUGAAGGCUCUCGGGUCGUAAACCCCUUUCAGCAGGGACGAAAAUGACGGUACCUGCAGAAGAAGCCCCGGCCAACUACGUGCCAGCAGCCGCGGUAACACGUAGGGGCCAAACGUUGUCCGGAUUUAUUGGGCGUAAAGAGCUCGUAGGCGGCUCAACAAGUCGGUCGUGAAAACCUGAGGCUCAACCUCAGGACGCCGGUCGAAACUGUUGUGGCUAGGGUCCGGUAGAGGAGAGUGGAAUUCCCGGUGUAGCGGUGAAAUGCGCAGAUAUCGGGAGGAACACCAGUAGCGAAGGCGGCUCUCUGGGCCGGUACCGACGCUGAGGAGCGAAAGCUAGGGGAGCAAACAGGAUUAGAUACCCUGGUAGUCCUAGCCGUAAACGUUGGGCACUAGGUGUGGCGGACUCAUUGACGUCAGCCAUGCCGAAGCUAACGCAUUAAGUGCCCCGCCUGGGGAGUACGG